rnacentral:rRNA from 1 species
UAGGGAAUAUUAGAAAUGGACGAAAGUCUGAUCUAGCAACACCGCGUGUGCGAAGAAGGCCUUCGGGUUGUAAAGCACUUUUUGGAAGGAUUAGGAAGGAAUGUACUUCCAGAAUAAGUCUCGGCUAACUACGUGCCAGCAGCCGCGGUAACACGUAGGAGGCAAACGUUAUCCGGAUUUACUGGGCGUAAAGCGCGUGUAGGUGGUUCUGUAAGUAGGGCGUGAAAGCUCCCGGCUCAACUGGGAGAGGCCGUUCUAAACUGCAGAACUAGAGGAUGGUAGAGGGAGGUGGAAUUCCGGGUGUAGCGGUGGAAUGCGCAGAUAUCCGGAGGAACACCAGUGGCGAAAGCGGCCUCCUGGACCAUUCCUGACACUCAGACGCGAAAGCUAGGGUAGCAAACG